UACUACGUCUACAGUUCUGUGGUC
rnacentral:siRNA from 1 species